rnacentral:snRNA from 1 species
GUGCUCGCUUUGGCAGCACAUAUACUAAAAUUGAAACAAUACAAGAAGAUUAGCAUGGCCCCUGUGCAAGGAUGACACGCAAAUUUGUGAAGCGUUCCAUAUUUUU